AUUGAACGAGGGAGGAAGGAGGAACACAGGCAAGUCGAGCGGAUGAAGGGAGCUUGCUCCUGGAUUCAGCGGCGGACGGGUGAGUAAUGCCUAGGAAUCUGCCUGGUAGUGGGGGAUAACGUCCGGAAACGGGCGCUAAUACCGCAUACGUCCUGAGGGAGAAAGUGGGGGAUCUUCGGACCUCACGCUAUCAGAUGAGCCUAGGUCGGCUUAGCUAGUUGGUGGGGUAAAGGCCUACCAAGGCGACGAUCCGUAACUGGUCUGAGAGGAUGAUCAGUCACACUGGAACUGAGACACGGUCCAGACUCCUACGGGAGGCAGCAGUGGGGAAUAUUGGACAAUGGGCGAAAGCCUGAUCCAGCCAUGCCGCGUGUGUGAAGAAGGUCUUCGGAUUGUAAAGCACUUUAAGUUGGGAGGAAGGGCAGUAAGUUAAUACCUUGCUGUUUUGACGUUACCAACAGAAUAAGCACCGGCUAACUUCGUG
rnacentral:rRNA from 1 species